UCUUAUGUGUUCAUUGCCAUCCUUAAGAGUUGCUAAAGUGUUAUUUCAUAUAUAUAUAUAUUUAUGUUUUUUUUUUUUAAGAAUGACAAUUACAUUUAUCUAGAUAAACUAUGUUGGGCCUGCUGAACCUAUACUUCUUCCACAGAUACUGGUCAGGGAACCAUUACUUCUGUCUCUGAAGACCCUUGGGGCUGGUGGGAUAAACGCUCUUUGUAUAAUCUGAGCACCUUCAUCCACCACAGGGUUGUCAAAGAACGGAUACGCCAUAAUUGAUUGUAACUUGUCUAGACGCUCUGCUUAGUUUCUAAAUCCUUAUUUUAUGUCAAUUAACCAAUGGCUUUUGAAAACAAAAGUGACAUUAUUUCUUAACUUGUUUAUUUAAAUUAAUAUAUUUUUUGGAGAUGAAGUAAACAUGUAGCUAAAUCAUUAAUGUCUGCACUUCAAAAAGUCUGAAUUUACGUUUCCGAACACGGACUAAAGUGGUUUGCGCGCAGGAAUUUACUCGACGGAACUGUCUUUUGAGAUUCUGUUUCCGCCUGUUUGAAAUUAUUUGCAACACAUUUUAGUUUAGCUUGACUUUUAGCCUGACACGGAUCAGGCUAGUUCCGAAGUAUAAGUUACCUUGGUUACGUAGCUAGAACUAAAAUAAGCCACCUUAAUGGAACGGAACUCUCGCUAAAGUAAGUGAGACUUGGCGAGAUAAGUCUAGCUUUUCCUUAAUCGACGUUGAUGGAACACCCCCCUGGGGGCUAAUGCACAAAAGUAGAAUAAAGAUAUCCAGGAUAACUGAAAAAGCGCAGCUUGAUUUAGUGUUAUCCACUCAUCGCGGCUGAAUCGGUUGCACGUUUGCCAAGCCAGGAUGAGAAGGUGGCGCUAUGUCAAUCCAGGUGUACAUAGUUGGGAUAAGUGCACCUUCACGGAUUUCUUAAAUAGACCAUGGUAUCGAUCACAAAUUCACUGAUGCAGAAAUGGAGAAGACGAGUGCAGCAUAUUUUUCACCCGCUGAGCAGAAAUUAAUAAUGGAGAUGUAUGAGGAGGUGAAGCAUAUUAUUUGCAAAAAGGGGAAUACGGCAGUCGUUAUUAAACAGCGAGAACAAGCCUGGCAGACAAUCGCUGACCGACUGAAUGCAACAAACAUGACUGGACAGAAAAGAUUGUGGCAACAAGUCAAAAUUAAAUAUAAAAACAUUUUGCAGUCUGCAGUUAAGAAGAAGGCUCAUUUUUCUGGCACUGGGGGAGGGCCACCAGCUCCAGGCUUCACCCCAGCUGAGGAAUUGGCCCUGGAUUUAAAUCAGGGAAGGCCAGUGAUGGAAGGGAUUGAGGGUGGGACAGCUACAGACUGUGUUCCACCUGCAGAAACUGCCCUCCUUAUCCAUGUGUCCGGGGACACAGUUACACUCCUGCCACCAGGCGAAGAUCCAGUGAGUAUUAUUCGUUAAAAGCACAAGGCUUGGCACAUCCUGUCAAUAAAAAGUAUAUUCAAUAUGGCAGGGGGAAGGAACUUCUGCCAUAUGGGAUGACGAGGAGACUGUGUCACUGGAUUCCAGAAGGCCUGAGGUAUCAUGUAAAUCGUAUGGAAAUGCAU